AUAUUGCGUCGUUUUUUGUUGUUGCCAUAAUUGAUUCGUAUUUUGUGGCGGUUUUCAGUAAUUCUGGCGGAUUUGAACCGCCAUUGUCAUUAACUAUAUUUAAAAUGCAAAAAUUGACCAAACCCUCAUUUCAAAAACGCUAUCCUGUAUCACCGUGUUCGAGCAAAAAGUUGAAACACUACAUGAUCUCCUCCUGCGUUCUCCUUCGACGGCGAUCUUCUCUGGUGAUAUCUCUUCCAGCGAAGAUCUCCUCCAACAGCGAUCUCCUCCGGCGAUGUUUGCUCUAGCGACGAUCUCCUCCUGCGACGUCUGCUCCAGCGACGAUCUCCCUCCUCCGACGCCUCCUCCAGCGACGAUCUCCCUCCUCCGACGUCUCCUCCAGCGACGAUCUCCUCCGGCUUCCUCCUUGUCGUCCUAUGUCCUCUCUGCCAAAUCUUCAGUGUCUCCCUUUUGUUCUGGAUCAGCAGGUCAGCUCGCUACUUUUCACAUUCUAGGGUUCAAAAGUGUGAAUUAUUUCUCUCCUUUGCUAGAUUUUUUACCAAUUCGAUUGAAACAUGAGAGUGUGUGAAUACGUGGAUAUAAAUUCCUUGUGAUUUUCGUUGUUAUUCAUUUGGUACUGGUUUUUAAGCUUUUUUGAAUUUAUUAUUAUUGGAGAAAAGUAAAACUGUGUAUUUUGAUUUUCUUAUUUUUUCAAUGUGCUGUGAGGUUUUGGUAGUGUGUUUGUGUUUUAGGUUGUAAAUACUAAGUGGAGUAUGUGAGAAUGGCGCAGGAAAGUGGAAAAGCUUUGGUGUCACUUAUAAACCAGGUAUUAGAUCUGGCAAAGAUUGAAGCCGAAGAAAUGGACUGGGACAAUAAUGGACAAGUCACUAUCAGGGAGUUCCUCUUCGGUUUCAUCAAAUGAGUUGGAAUUGAUGCAGAUGAAUAGAUGCAUGAUGCAUUGUGUAAGAACAGAUAUACUUCUAAGAGGAUUGCUUUAAUUUCUAUCAUGCUGAAUGUUUGAGUGUAAAGUUUUUCAUUUUCUUAAAAGUGUGUUGGAUAGAUACAGAAUUUGAUUGUGGCAAUGAAUCAAGAAAAAAAAAGAAAAAGGAAAAGGAUGUGUAUAGAUAGAUAUAUGUAGUCUGAGUCCUGCUUCAUCACAAAGUAACACUGAUACAUCAAACUUUUUGUUAUAUACAACCUUCAUAGACAAUAAACUUACAGAAUAGAUAAAACAUGGAGAGACAAAGAAGAAAAUGUAUGUUUUACAAAAUUUAGUUUCCACUUUGGUUACUCCAUUGUGUUCUGUAACUUCUUACUGUAUUCCUAGAGCUUCGAUUCUUCUAAUGAGUGACAAAGAAAUUGCAUUUCUUUCUCUCCAUUCUUUCCUGCUCUCUUUGUUCGGUUUGACGAGUAAGCUGUCCUUGCCAUCAAGGAUGCUUACAAUUUGCCUCAUGCUUGGCCUUAAUUGUGGGUCACAGCGGGUGCAUGCGAUUCCUAGUCUUAUCAAUCUCAGCAGUUCUUUCCCAUUGUACUCUCCAUUGAGUCUUUUGUCUGCUAAUUCCUUCCAAUUGGCAUUAGGGGUGUACACGGCCCGGUCCGGCCCGAAGACCCGGCCCGGGCCCGAAGGAUUUUGGAUGGCAAAGGGUCUGACCCGAAGUGACCCGGGGAGGACCCGGGGAAAAACAAUGAAACCAAGAAAGGAUAUGAAGCCGGGACCGGGCCAUGGCUCGGGUCACCCGGACCCGGCCCGGUGGCCCGGCCAUAUAUACAAUAAUACAAAACACACACAUUACAGAUUUGAAAUUAGGGAAAGGGGGCUAGGGCACAUUCAGAUUUCAGUCACUCCAUUCUAUUUUCCAUUCACUGCCUCCCUCAGAGCUCAGCGACUGAGGCUCACUCCCACACCCCCAGUUCCCAGUCCCCACUCCCCACUCCGGCACCGGCAGUCCCCACUCCCCACGGCACAAGCUGAUCUGGUAACCCCUGACCUCAUCUUCUCUCCACACGGGCCAUUCCUAGUCUCGCAGCACGCAGCCACGCACCAGGCAGUCGCCCACUCCUCUCGUUCUCGUCUCUUCUCAACCUUCCUUGUUCCACCCCAGUUACCGGCGAAGGUCUUCGUUCGACUGACGACGGUGACGACCUAUGGUGCUGCCCUGCUUCUCGGUGAUGUGAAGUUCUUCUCUAAUACUGCCCCGCCGUUGCUCUGCUCUGCUAGUCCUGCUCCUUCUGCUCCGCUCUCUUCUCCGGUCUUCUUCUCAGGUCUUCUUCUCAGCUUAAUGGAUCGUCGCGAAUGCAUCCUUGUGAGGAGUUGUUUGAGUUCCAUUCUUCUGGUGACUUUGGACUGAACCCUUUAAAGCAUUGGCAAACAUGCUUUGAUUCUGCUACACUGCAAUAAGCAUAGGCUCCACAAAGGUCAUAUUUAUCACACACAUCACCUGGCGUUGAUCCAGAAACUUUCCAAUUCUGAAGAUUGUCAUCCCAUAAAUAACUUGUAAGAGAUUGACUUGUUUGGCUUAUUACACCUCUUCCAAUGAUAGAAUCAACCUUGGUGUUAUAACUAUAGGAUAUCUCAUCCUUGUUUGUGACAAAACUGUCUCAAAAACAUAUGUAAAGGACAGAUCUGGGAAUCCACUGAAGUAAAGGCCAUUCCAAGGUCCAGAGCGAUAUACUUUUUGUGUGACAUUCAUCAUGUAAUAGACUGGAUAAUCCCUUACAACUAAACCAAGAGAAAAGUCUCCAGGGGAUGGAUCAUUUGGACUCUUCCAACAAGUUAUGCGCCAGUCCAAACAUUUUUGGAGGUCCCUUCCCAACUUCAUGGUUGGCAAGAAUGUAUCUGUAGGAUAAUCAAAGCUUUGCCACAAAUAGGCCUUUGGAUUUGAUUCUCCUUCAUUUCUUAACACAAGAUUGCCACUGUCCAAGAGCUUCAAUACCGGAUUUUUUUAAUUUAGAAGGAUUCUUGGUCUCGGAGCUCGAUUUGGGGUCUAUGAAAUCAUCACUUCCUUUUAUAAGGGUAAUCCGCCAUUUUCGCCAUUUUCCGCAACGCCAUCCGCUAUAACUUUAUGGCGGAUUUUUGGCUCACCGCCAUGAUGAGCCGCCAUCCGCAAUCAAAAACUAUGCUUCUCAUGCCUUUGAUACUACAAGAACUAGAUCACAGUGCACUGUGCUACUAAAGGUGAUGAAGAUAAAUUGAUUUGGAACUAUUUAGAAGAUGGAAGCUACUUAAAUAAGAACCAGUUGAAGAUAGACAUCAUCUUUUCA